AGGAAAACACUCAGAUGUGUGGAAAAUUAUAGCCGCUGUUCUAAUUCCAAUCGUAUUAGUCCAGAUGAUCAUCAUCAUUGUUCUCGUCUGUUGGAAACGUAUCUGUGAAACUGAAUCCAGACCCGAGACUCGUAUUGAACUUCAGAACAUAAAUGAACAACAGCCACUGAACCCAGACUCAUCAGAAGUGCCUGAACAUGACGAGAGUGAGGAAGGGCAUCUGACGCAAAACCAAAGUGACCAGUGAAACGUGCAAACAUUUGAAGGUGUUUGGAGACAGUGGUGAACUCAGAGGAACAAGCCAAGAAGAACUUAACAACAGUUUAACUCUUCCAGACCAAAGGGGAUUUUUAGAACAUUUGUUCUCACCUGGAUUUUUUUUCUUAAUUUUGCUUUUAAAAAUUACUUCUCCAAACCUGAAAACUUGAAGGUCAUUGACUUGGGACUUGACUCAGACUUGAACCCUUUGACUUGAGAAGACUUGAUGCUUCUCCUAAAAUAUAUGUUUUUAUAAAAUA